rnacentral:ncRNA from 1 species
UCGUAAUUUUUCUUACAUCUCCACUGCCGGGAGCCCAAGUAUUAUAUACACCUCCAAAAUACAAAGCCUUGAGCACUGGAAGAAAAGCACCAACC